ensembl:lncRNA
UUUUUUUGUUUGGUUUGGGAAUUUUUGGGUUUUAUUUUUUGGUUGGUUUAUUUUUUUUCCUUUUUCAAGCAAGGUCAGGAUAUUAUUGUGAGAACACCCAAAAGCAGUUCCAUUUGCCAAAAUAAGCUCAAAUUUGUUAGUGAAUUGACCCUUGCUUAUGUCAGACCCUCAGACAGAAAGAAGCUUAUUGAUAAAUGAAUGGCACUUUUUUUGUUGUUAGUGUUGUGAAAGUGUCCAGAAUUGUUCUUCUGGUGUUUUGUGACUGAAUGUAUAAAAUUGUUUGUUCACCCCACGGGGGGCCCUUGGCCCCGGUACUGUUUCCUGCUGCAUGCCAGUGCUGUUUGAUGGUUUCACUGGAACAGAGAGAGGAGGCCUCGCACAGGACAGAAAAUAGGCAGGAUAGCUCAUGCAAAGACCCUCAGCGAUAGCCACAACAGAGGCUGGGGUGUGGAAGACAGCAGUGAGCGCUGUCAGCCACAUCCAUGUAUUUGAGCAAAGCUAAAUCUACCACCGCCUCCCCACCCCUUCCUCUUCUCUCAAGCUUUAAGUUUGUGCUUUCUGAAGCACAGAAAGUGCAAAACCUUCCUUUUCAAAAGCUAAUAGGUAUCUACCUGUCUUGUUCCCCCUUGCUUACCUGCAAGCUUGGAAAAAGAGGGUAGUGGGCCUUUCUACGAAAACAGUAGGGGCAGCUGCUUGUAAGGGAAGGGAGGGAAGGAAGUCAGAGUUGCUGGGUGGUUGAGGACCAGCCUGUGAGUGGGCUGGCAUGAGAGAGAAGGCAUGUUAAAAGUGCAAAGACCUUAUAGUGAAGCUGAUCCCUUGCAUCAGUGGGUGGAUGCCCCUCCGAGUUCUGAGUUGGUCCUGUAGAGAGCAGGUGGUCAGUGCUGCAUUUAUAUAUCUGUCUUUUACCAUCUGGGAAGGCAAGGGAGAUGUCUAUGUUAACAGCUCGCACAGGGAAUGUACAGCGUUGGCACAUACAGGUAAAGGGAACACAUUGCUUUUGCCAUGCUUGUUAUAAAACAGUUUUCCCCAAGGGUGUGGUAAACUUGUUUUGAGACAAUAGCUUAUGAUCAAGAGACUAUGUUGUCCUCUGCCUGCUGAGCUUACUGUCCUAGCAGAGAAAGGUGAACCUUCUGAGUGUGGAACCACAUGGUCAGACACUUCAGAUCCUCUCCUGUAACAAGCACUUCCUGGAGUGGUGACCCCUUUUUCUCUUCCACCUCUCUUUCCCUUGCACCCUUAAUUUCUUAAAGUACAGUGGCUUAGCAGGGAGUGGGUGGGUGAUGAUCCCCAGUUGUCGGGGAGCUCUAGAGAGGAGCAGGGCGCAGUGGGAGCACGUAAUGGCUGACAGGAGGAGCUGGGUUGCCACCAAGCUGGGAUGGGGUACAAGCUUUGGUCCUGAGGUUGUUUCCAUUUGCUCUGCAAAGACACCAGGGGCUCUUGUCUGAGAGUACAGGUCAGACUUGGAAGAGGAAAGCUCCCAAGACCGCUCGGAACCUCUACCACAGUUUAUCUCGUUACUGGGGCACUGGGAGGGGGAUUUUGGAGGAGGAGGAAGAAGUGGAAAGCCUUUAUUAUUAUUAUUUUUUAACCAGAAAAUGUAGUGUCAGCACGAAGAAGCUUUUUGCAAACCUGUCAAAUAUUAAGCAGCUUUUUUUAUUUUUGUUCUUGUUGCUUUUAAAUCUGAAGUAUGUUUUGAAGCACUUUGGAAAUGCAAAGCACUAGGAGUGCUAAGUACUCCUUAUCAUCUGCCUAAAAGUGGCAUUUGAAAAGCAAAAGAUGUAUUUGUUUCAGGCUGCUGGCUGCUCCUUAUCAUUUUUCCAGAGCUGCCACCCAGCCCUUUGCCUCCCUCCCAUGGCCGAAGGGGGAGCGUGUUCCACCGCACCAAGGAAAGGCAGGCUCCCCACUCGGGGAGAGGAGAGUGGCCAAGUUCACCUUCGGGGUCCAGGUUGGCUUCCUCCCUCACGGCCUCCUUUGUCUGAAGAAAGGGAAAAAUGAAGUUGAGUUUCAGUUUGAGUGGUCCUAGUCUGGAACCAUGACCACUUCUGCCAGCUCUAGAGACAUCUUUACAGAGUUUCCUGUCUGAAAAAUUGCACCUUAUUAGCUUUGUUGUGGAAUGGGGAGAGGAAGGGCGGGUAAAGCAGGAGCUGUCUUCAGCUGCUGCUGGAUUUUUCUAGAGGCCAUUUCCUCACCUCAUCCCCAACAUAAUGGCAACAAAAGAACUGAAAUCAUUUAGAUGAAGCUUUUGUUCUGUGUAUCUUGAGAACCCUUUGAGCAGGCUAAGAUGAGAUAAUCUGUUUUUCCUCACCUAGCCAGCUCUGCAGCCGCGGGAACCCCAGCUCUCCCUCUGGGUUUCAGCACCAACCUUUCCCCUCAGCAUAUGCACAGCGUUGGGACCCUUUUGCACACUGACUCAUCCAAUUUGGUAUGCUCCCUUUCAGUUGGGAGAAGGAGGAGUAGAUGGGGGCUUGGGUUGGAUAGAGGGGAGGGUCCCUGGUUAUUUUUGUUCUUGUCCCUUCAGUCGUUGCUGUUGUUACACGCUAGAAUAUCUGAGUCUUUGCACACAGAAAGCUUCCUUUUGCACAGAAUGAGCUUCUAGCUUUUGUACAGACUAAUUGAAUGUAUUUGGGGAGGGGGGGGGAAAUAGGGAGUAAACCAAUUCCAAGCAAACCAAUCGGAGUAUAAUGCCUUUUCUGAGCGAGUAUGUGCUGUAAAAGGAGAUUGUAAUAGCAAAGGGAGGGCAGGCUCAAGUAUAAUUUGACACAAAGCGUGGUUUUAUUUUUGUACUGAUAUGGAUAAGAGACUGUACAGCAUCUAUUUAUUUAGAUGAUUUAUGUGGUAAAUGUUGCAAACAAAAUUAUGAAAACAUUAAAUAUGAGAACUGACAU